rnacentral:lncRNA from 1 species
AUCUCUAUAGGUCCAAUAAUCAUGACUAAAGGAAAUAGCAACUCUAUAGGCCAUAUAUCAAGUCUAAGAGGAAAUAACAUCUCUCCAGGCCAAAUAUCAAGUCUAAGAGGAAAUAGCAUCUCUAUAGGCCACAUAAUGUAUCUAGGAGGAAUAUCACCUCUAAAUGCCCAAUAUCACUUCCACAUGUAGUAUCAUAACCAUAACUAAAUAGCCACAAUCUUGAAACAUCAAUACAAGUUACCAAGUUAUGAAGUAACCUUAUUCUAAGGUUAACUAGCCUCAUCUAUGUCUAACAUCCGCAACUAAGUCCACAAGACUUAAC